UUCUUGGAGAGUUUGAUCCUGGCUCAGGACGAACGCUGGCGGCGUGCCUAAUACAUGCAAGUCGAGCGGACCUUAGCGAUCUUCGGAUCGCUCUUGGUUAGCGGCGGACGGGUGAGUAACACG
rnacentral:rRNA from 1 species